GGGAAGGUUGUCUGGUCCAGAGGCUUCCCUAGGGUGAAGAGCUCUACUAUGUAUGCUUUAUGCGGCAGAGGGAGUGCUUUGGAGGAGUUUUUAAAUUUCUGUUUUUUUAAAAAAUCUUAUCCCAUCGGUUUUAAUUGUAGCAAUGAUUCAAGAAACGUUGGUAGGUGCCCAUAACUUUGGUGGUGGAGAUCCAAAAGUGAACAAGACAGUGUUCUGGCUGCUAAGUUCUUCUUAACUGGUUAUGCCUGGAGACCUUCACUUGGUUCUAUGCCAGCACUGCCCAUGAACUUCAUAGACUGAUCUUUGCUAAGGCCUAAAUGAAUGAAGGUGCGGGACUGGAAGCAGAAGACAGAAAGUGGAGACCAAAUGUUUGAAGCUGGGUAAAGGCAGGGAUGGAGCAGGAACCGAGGAACAAACCUUGGAACUAGUUGCACUUGCCCAAAGGAAGUUCUCGUUUGAUUGACUCUGUCUGCUGCUCCAUAGUGACUUUCCAGCUCUCAGGCCUGAUCCAAGGAGCCACAGAGCAUGCCCAUCAUGAGCUAUGUGGGACCAUGGGGGCGGGCCUGGGUUUUAUGUGAAGUAAUGGCUUUUCAAGCCUGGCAUGACAGUUCGCAGUCCAGCAUGGCAAUCAGCAGCCCAGCAUGAAGGAGGCAGAUAGUUGAAUAGAUUAUUUUUAUGGUUUACUUAAAGAAAUAGUUUUGAUGUCAAAUCCAUUUAGGUUUCAAAUGGGAAAAUCAGAGUUAACCUCUCUAUACUAUUGAGAAAAAAAUCAGCUGAAAAGUGCAAAAACCAAAUUGGUUUACCAACUGGUUGUCAUUAUAACCAAUGCUCUCCUCUUUGCAUUCCCUUCACCCCAGUUGACUAAUUGUUUAGAUCCAAUUAACUUUCAUUUGUUGGAUGUUGCAUAAACUGGACUUUACAACUAGGUAUAAGAAGAACAAAGAGGGAAGAGUAUCUUCUUUGUAUUGAAUUAUGUCUCAUUUUUCACAAGAUAGUUCAUAUCUCCCUUUAAAUGUCAUAUAUGAUAUAUGCCUCUUUAAAUGUUGUGAUUGCUUGAAAU
rnacentral:lncRNA from 1 species